rnacentral:rRNA from 1 species
UCAGUUCGGAUUGUAGGCUGCAACUCGCCUACAUGAAGUCGGAAUCGCUAGUAAUCGCAGAUCAGCAUGCUGCGGUGAAUACGUUCCCGGGUCUUGUACACACCGCCCGUCACACCAUGGGAGUCGGAAAUGCCCGAAGUCAGUGGCCCAACCGCAAGGAGGGAGCUGCCGAAGGCAGGUCCGGUGACUGGGGUGAAGUCGUAACAAGGUAUC